AUUUCUUGUUGUUUGUGUUGAUAAUGAUGUUUUUUCUCUCAGGUCGACAAGAAAACAACAGGAGAGAGUCAAAUGAUGAGAGAAACCAAAUGUUUGUUUGCAGGAGAAUAGAACUUGAAGAACGUACAAAUGAAGCAACGUCUCACCAGAAUGGAGAAGUCUCAUCUAAUGAUCCUCUGAUUGGAUGAAAUACAGACUCUGAUCACUCUGAGCAGUCCUGUGGUGUAACUGUAUUAAAUGACGGUGAACACUGGGACAUUCAGGUCAAUAUGGACGAGAAGUGGAAACAAAUGAACUGAUUAAAUAUAAUAACUGGAUAUUUUGAUGAUCUCAUUUCAGUGACAGCUGAGAACUGAGCUGAGCAUUAAUUUGAAAACGUUGUAAAUAAAACCUUCAGUUCUGUUUUUAAAGCCAUUUAACAAACACAUCCUUGUCAGUCCAGUUACUGAAGGUCAAAGACUGUUUGAUGUAAAAAUGUAUUUUAUCAUUACUAUGUACCUGCCUAAUGUAGUAGUAUUACAUAUCAUUAGUAGAAUGUAGUGACUGUGGACUGAUGAACAUCUGAACUCUCUGACUCUUUAACUCUCUCCUGCUUCAUGCAGCUUCAUCGUUCGUCUCUCUGAUUGAUAUUUCAUGAGGCAGAUGUUUGUUGUGAGUAACAAACUCUAAAGGUUUGAGUUUUCUAAGUCAGAGCUUUAACUCACUGCUCUGAUCUGCUUUCACUGACUGGACUUCAGGUUUGUUUCUGUCAUUAGCUGAGAGGUUCACAUUCAUUUCCAACCUGCUCUGUGCAUGUUUCAGUCAUAAUGAUAAGAGGGUGAUAACUGCUGUGUAUUUUAAUACUUGCUGUGAUUUAUUCUUAAUAAAAUCUAUACUGAAUGUUU